UACGGGGGGGCGAAGCGUUGUUCGGAAUUACUGGGCGUAAAGGGCUCGUAGGUGGCCAACUAAGGUCAGACGUGAAAUCCCUCGGCUUAACCGGGGAACUGCGUCUGAUACUGGAUGGCUUGAGUUUGGGAGAGGGAUGCGGAAUUCCAGGUGUAGCGGUGAAAUGCGUAGAUAUCUGGAGGAACACCGGUGGCGAAGGCGGCAUCCUGGACCAACACUGACACUGAGGAGCGAAAGCCAGGG
rnacentral:rRNA from 1 species